rnacentral:pre_miRNA from 1 species
AGUGGGAUUACUUGGUCAAGUAGUGGUUCCAUUCCAAGUUUUCUGAGGAAUCUUCAUACUGCUUUCCAGAGUGGUUGCACCAAUUUGCAGUCCUACCAGCAAU